rnacentral:rRNA from 1 species
CACGUAGUUAGCCGGCGCUUCUUUACCCACUACCCUCACCACAACCAUUGUUGCGGCUUGACCAUGAGCGAAAGAGGUUUACAACCCGAAGGCCGUCAUCCCUCACGCGGCGUCGCUGCAUCAGGCUUUCGCCCAUUGUGCAAUAUUCCCCACUGCUGCCUCCCGUAGGAGUCUGGGCCGUAUCUCAGUCCCAAUGUGACCGGUCACCCUCUCAGGCCGGCUACCCGUCAAAGCCUUGGUAGGCCAUCACCCCACCAACAAGCUGAUAGGCCGCGAGCCCAUCCCCCACCAGAAAAAACCUUUCCACCAACCCCCAUGCGAAGGCCAGUGAAUAUCCAGUAUUAGCACCCGUUUCCGGCGUUAUCCCAAAGAAGGGGCAGGUUACUCACGUGUUACUCACCCGUUCGCCACUCAUCCACCCAGCAAGCUGGGCUUCAGCGUUCGACUUGCAUGUGUUAAGCACGCCGCCACGCGUUCGUCCUCGUAGCCGACGGAGUCGAAACUACUCUCGAGACGUGACCG